CUGUCUCCCCACGCUUUGCGGCGGGACUCGCCUGAAAAGCAUCGGCGUCCGGCGGCUGGUCUUGCGCGUAGCAGAUUGUUCGCACAAGGGCCGGCCCGCAGGGCUGCCGCAUACGUCAAUUGCAUCUCGUAGUUUGACCUCGGAUCAGGUAGGAAUACCCGCUGAACUUAAGC
rnacentral:misc_RNA from 1 species